UGGGGAAUUUUGGACAAUGGACGAAAGCCUGAUCCAGCAAUGCCGCGUGUGUGAAGAAGGCCUUCGGGUUGUAAAGCACUUUUGUCCGGAAAGAAAUCCUUGGCUCUAAUACAGUCGGGGGAUGACGGUACCGGAAGAAUAAGCACCGGCUAACUACGUGCCAGCAGCCGCGGUAAUACGUAGGGUGCAAGCGUUAAUCGGAAUUACUGGGCGUAAAGCGUGCGCAGGCGGUUUGCUAAGACCGAUGUGAAAUCCCCGGGCUCAACCUGGGAACUGCAUUGGUGACUGGCAGGCUAGAGUAUGGCAGAGGGGGGUAGAAUUCCACGUGUAGCAGUGAAAUGCGUAGAGAUGUGGAGGAAUACCGAUGGCGAAGGCAGCCCCCUGGGCCAAUACUGACGCUCAUGCACGAAAGCGUGGGGAGCAAACAGGAUUAGAUACCCUGGUAGUCCACGCCCUAAACGAUGCCAACUAGUUGUUGGGGAUUCAUUUCCUUAGUAACGUAGCUAACGCGUGAAGUUGACCGCCUGGGGAGUACGGGUCGCAAGAUUAAAACUCGAAUGAAUUGACGGGGUCAUAGCUGUUUCCU
rnacentral:rRNA from 1 species